rnacentral:lncRNA from 1 species
AACUGGCCUGAAUGUACUGUGUUCCUUUGCUGUGGGGAGUGGGGGGGGCAGUGGGGGGCUAGAGAUCCAGUAUACUGCACAGCGUUCAGACAGACACACCAUUCCAUAGAUGCCUUUAAAAAUCAGAUGAAAGUUUUCUAACGAGGAUGUGUGGGGUUUUGUUUCUGGACUCCAACUGGGCAAUCUCGGAGAAUGGGAUUGUCCCAGAGGAGACACUGGGAGAACAUUAGCAUCAGCUGUCCAUUUAAAGCAGCGGGUGUGUGGUGAGAAGAGGAGGGGUGCUGGAGUCGGCAAGGCCAGGAGGUGCUGGAAGAGGAGAGGCUGCUGGAACCUCUGUGCAUCGCCUCUGCAGACAGCAUGCGCUGCUUAGCCUGCUGGGAACCAGGAGGAACAGCGGCUGCUUAAGUCCUUGCCUCGGAUGGUCCAGCAACUCCAGACGUCCUGUCGCCUUCUCACCUCCUCUGCUGAGAGCUACAGAUCCUUCGUUGACAGACAGGGAGGGAAAUGUGCAAAUGGUGUGGACAUGAGCAAGUUAAGUUGUCCCUUGAGAGGAUCCAUCCAGCAGCUGACUCAUACAGAUACAGACACCCACAGCCAAACAGUGGAUGGAGCUUGGGGACUCCUAUGGAAGAACAGAAGGAAGAAUCGUGGGCUCCGAAGAGGAUAGGAACUCCACAGGAAGACCAACAGAAUCAACUAACCUUUACCCUUGAGGAUCUCAGUGUCUGAACCACCAACCAAAGAACAUACACAGGCUUAACCUAGGCCUCCCCACAUACAUGUACAGUUGGACCGCCAUGUGGGUCCUCAACAACAGGACCAAGGGCUAUC